AUGGCAUCGGCGGAGGAGCAAGUCUUCCUUGGAUCGAGGAACCUGUCGUAUCACAGCGCCCACUACCCCGACGCUAGCGCCGAUUGGGAUUACCCGGAAGACCCAGGCGACCGGCGGAACGGGGUGGAGGUUGCCGAACUCCAUGACCAGCCGGCGCGCAUGAGCACCCCAGAUUCAGAUCCAUGUGAAGUCGCCAGGCGUGCCUUGGACCUCAUGUUCCCGCGGGAGGAGGACAGCGAUGACGUCUGGAGCACCUGGAGCGCGCGAGAGGAGGGCAGUGAUGACGAUGAUGAACAAGGAGGGGAAGAAGGCGAUGGUAGCACACAGGAGAGCAGCGAUUAUGAAGACGACGGCGGCAAUUGCCAAGUGAUACUAGCCGAGACAAACUGUCCAGGAAAGCUCUACCCCAAGAGCCAAGCAGAUGACAUAGAUGACAAAUGGGUACAUAGGUACUCCCAACAGCUUAAAGAACACGAGAAGCUGUGCAGCGAGAUUAUGGCUCUGGGAGUUUAUGAUGAUGAUUAUGAGUAUGAUUAUGAUGAUGAUGAUGCUCCUCCUUGCCCCGUCUAUCCCAUGAGAGUGUUCCCUGACGCAACAGGUGCCUGCGUCCUUGGGCUCAACUGCCACCAUCGUGUCUACAGGACCCAUGACACUUCUACCACCCCAUCAACUCUUGGAAAGCGCACACCAAGUUAUAUGCUACAAUUAUUCUGCAUGCGUCUAUCAAGCUUUGAACCCUUGUAUCCCAUUAGUGUGUAUGGAAUAUUUGCCAUUCGGGAUUACUUGGACCCGCGACGGAACUACGUCUUUAACCGUCCCAGGGAUGACGCUGUCACGAUUGAAAAGAAGGGUUCCUUUGUCAUACCACUUUGUAGCCCUUGUCGAGGAAUGUAUUUGUUGGAUAAGGCUUUAGUAGAAGUUGAUCUUUGGGUAAAGAAAGAAGGGGAUGAAUCAGAUGACAAGCAACUACUUUCUGCAUAUGCUGAGAUUGAUGUACGGACUGAAGCUGAUCUCAUGCUUUAUGAACGGAUUUCUGGUGAUAAUUGCAAUUUGGACUUGAAAUAUAUAGUCCUUUCAGAAAGUGUUGAGGCUGUAAUACAAGUAUAUGCAAAGGUCAGCCAUCCUCACCAUGUGUUGUUCACUGCUUUUAGCACCGAAUAUGAUAACUAUCCUCUUCGUGGGGUUGUGCUGUUUGAUGACAAAUUAUUUGGUGAGGAAAAACUAUUCAAGCAUGUUGUCGCGGUGAAAGCAAAUGAAGAACUGCAUGUUUUUUUAGAAGUGAACGGUUCAGUGUUCAAGUGGACUUUUCAAGAUGAACAUGUUGGACCUGUUGUUUCUCCUGAUGACUCAAUCUUGGACUAUGGCCAGUUCUUCGUGAGGGUGUUGUUUGCUCCAAAGGAUUGUGAGUGA
rnacentral:rRNA from 1 species